CCCUUAGAUGUUCUGGGCCGCACGCGCGCUACACUGACGAAGGCAACGAGCUUUCCUUUACCGAAAGGUACGGGUAAUCUUUUGAAACUUCGUCGUGCUGGGGAUAGAUCCUUGCAAUUUUUGAUCUUAAACGAGGAAUGCCUAGUAAGCGCAAGUCAUCAACUUGCGUUGAUUACGUCCCUGCCCUUUGUACACACCGCCCGUCGCUACUACCGAUUGAAUGGUUUAGUGAGGCCUUCGGAUCCGCGACUCGUUUUGUGGAGAAGUUGGACAAACUCAGUCAUUUAGAGGAAGUAAAAGUCGUAACA
rnacentral:rRNA from 1 species